rnacentral:rRNA from 1 species
UACGUAGGGGGCAAGCGUUGUCCGGAUUUAUUGGGCGUAAAGAGCGUGUAGGCGGCCAGGUAGGUCAGCUGUGAAAACUCGAGGCUCAACCUCGAGACGUCGGUUGAAACCACCUGGCUAGAGUCCGGAAGAGGAGAGUGGAAUUCCUGGUGUAGCGGUGAAAUGCGCAGAUAUCAGGAGGAACACCCGUAGCGAAGGCGGCACUCUGGGCCGAUUCUGACACUGAGGAGCGAAAGCGUGGGGAGCGAACAGG